rnacentral:rRNA from 1 species
GUGUCGCAGGGAAACCGAUAAACACACCGCCUGGGGAGUACGACCGCAAGGUUAAAACUCAAAUGAAUUGACGGGGACCCGCACAAGUAGUGGAGCAUGUGGUUUAAUUCGAAGAUACGCGCAGAACCUUACCAACACUUGACAUGUUCGUCGCGACUCUAAGAGAUUAGAGUUUUCGGUUCGGCCGGACGAAACACAGGUGCUGCAUGGCUGUCGUCAGCUCGUGUCGUGAGAUGUUGGGUUAAGUCCCGCAACGAGCGCAACCCUCACUUUUAGUUGCCAUCAUUAAGUUGGGCACUCUGAAAGAACUGCCAGUGAUAAGCUGGAGGAAGGUGGGGAUGACGUCAAGUCCUCAUGGCCCUUACGUGUUGGGCUACACACGUGCUACAAUGGCAUCUACAACAGGAAGCAAAACGGCAACGUUAAGCAAAUCCCGAAAAGAUGCCUCAGUUCGGAUUGCACUCUGCAACUCGAGUGCAUGAAGCUGGAAUUACUAGUAAUCGUGGAUCAGCGUGCCACGGUGAAUGCGUUCCCGGGUCUUGUACACACCGCCCGUCACACCAUGGGAGUUGGUUCUACCUUAAGGCAAGGUUUUAAACCCUUGACCACGGUAUAGUCAGCGACUGGGGUGAAGUCGUAACAAGGUAGCCGUAGGGGAACCUGCGGCUGGAUUACCUCCUUU